rnacentral:tRNA from 2 species
GCCCGCGUAGCUCAGCGGAAAGAGCGCCGGCCUACGAAGCCGGGACAUGCGCAGGUUCGAAUCCUGCAGCGGGCA